UACGUAGGGUGCAAGCGUUGUCCGGAAUUAUUGGGCGUAAAGAGCUCGUAGGCGGCUUGUCGCGUCGGCUGUGAAAACCUGGGGCUCAACUCCGGGCUUGCAGCCGAUACGGGCAAGCUAGAAUUCGGUAGGGGAGACUGGAAUUCCUGGUGUAGCGGUGAAAUGCGUAGAUAUCAAGUGGAACACCAGUGGCGAAGGCGAGUCUCUGGACAUUUCCUGACGCUGAGGCACGAAAGCCAGGGGAGCAAACGGG
rnacentral:rRNA from 1 species